rnacentral:lncRNA from 1 species
CAGGAGCUGUUCAAAUCUGCCAUUUCCAGGAAAGAAAUGGUAAUGCGCUGCACCCAGUCAUGAUAUUUGCGACGGGGAAGUUGGAGUGACUCUCUGUCUGAUUGAAAGCUGUCAGCACAUCUUCGUGCCUUUUGGCCACAAUGAGUUGAUGACGAAGGAGACAGAGAUGCUAUCAGUGAGAAGAGAAACAUGCACUAAUCCCGGAGUUUAUUUAUUCAUCGCUAGCAGUCACAGACCACCCUUCAGGGGGUACCGGUACCCAGAGGCGGCCAGUAACUAAGUACAUUUACUUAAGUAUUGUACUUAAGUACACUUUUUGAGUAUCGGUACUUUACUCGAGUAUUAUUU